AGAAGAGGCACGGAGUUGGGCCAUGGCGGCGACAGCGGCGCGACGAGGAGGACGGAAGGGAACUGUGCAGAAAGCAAAACGCGGCCGAGCUUCAUCUGGACAGUCUUUGCUGAUGACCUUCUCGAUUUUACUCUGGGUUAUUACAUACUCCAAUUUCCCCAAUUAGUAAGAGGAUUUAAGUUGGAUAAAGCUUUUGGGGGUUUCUUUGAUAUUUAUUUACAAAAAACGGCACAGAUGAAGGCAUGUACAAUAAACAGUCCAGUGAACAUCAA